rnacentral:rRNA from 1 species
UACAGAGGUCUCAACCGUUGUUCGGAUUCAUUGGGCGUAAAGGGUGCGUAGGCGGUCGCGCAAGUCGGAUGUGAAAUCUCAGGGCUCAACCCUGAAACUGCAUUCGAUACUGCGUGGCUAGAGUGCUGGAGAGGAGACUGGAAUUUACGGUGUAGCAGUGAAAUGCGUAGAGAUCGUAAGGAAGACCAGUGGCGAAGGCGAGUUUCUGGACGGUAACUGACGCUGAGGCACGAAGGCCAGGGGAGCGAACGGG